GACGAACGCUGGCGGCGUGCCUAAUACAUGCAAGUUGAGCGCUGAAGGUUGGUACUUGUACCAACUGGAUGAGCAGCGAACGGGUGAGUAACGCGUGGGGAAUCUGCCUUUGAGCGGGGGACAACAUUUGGAAACGAAUCUUAAUACCGCAUAAAAACUUUACCCACUAGUUCUAAGUUUGAAAACUGCCAUUCCCUCACUCAAAGAUGAACCCGCGCUGGAUUAGCUAGUUGGUGAGGUAACGGCUCACCACGGCGAUGAUACAUAGCCGACCUGAGAGGGGGGUCGGCCACAUGGGGACUGAGACACGGCCCAAACGCCUACGGGAGGCAGCAGUAGGGAAUCUUCGGCAAUGGACGAAAGUCGGACCGAGCAACGCCGCGGGAGUGAAGAAGGUUUUCGGAUCGUAAAACUCUGUUGGUAGAGAAGAACGUUGGUGAGAGUGAAAAGCUCAUCAAGUGACGGUAACUACCCAGAAAGGGACGGCUAACUACGUG
rnacentral:rRNA from 1 species